UCAGAUUCAUAAUUAGAUUGUCAAGCUGUGCGUUGCCAGUAUGGAGUAGGGCAGGUGCCAGACUUGUGUUUCCCACAGCAUCUGUGAGACCCACUAAGCUGCUCGGGUGACCUGCCCUUGGGGCAGCCCCCGGACCCCCGUUCUGGGAACAACCCUGUUGCCCGCUGCUCUGGCCCAGCUCGGCCCACAGAGUCCGAUGGCGGCGGGCGUGCUGAGGCGCCGGUUGCAGGUUGUUGUGACCUUUGAGGAUGUGGCUGUGUAUCUGUCCAGGACAGAAUGGCACCUCCUUGAUGAGGCUCAGAGACGCCUGUACCUGGAUGUGAUGCUGGAGAACUUUGCUCAUGUAUCCUCGCUGGGUUGCUGCUGUGAAGCAGAGGAUGUGGAGGCACCCACUGAACAGGAACUCUCUGAACAAGCAUCACAAGAAAAGUAUCCUAAGGCAGCCUUGUCUACCCAGAAGGGCCACCCCUGUGAGAGAUGUGAGCCGGUCUUAAGAGACAUUUUCCUCUUGGUUUAUCAGCAGGGAACUCAACACAGCACAACACUGCUGAGGUGUGGGGCGUGUGCAAAACCAUUUUAUUUCAGUGCAUGGAGCAACCAGCAUCAGGAACAGGACACAACACAGAAUUACCUCCUAAGCAGUGUGGGCAGUGUCUCAUUUGGAAAGAGCUGCAAUUCCCAUAUGACAUGGAAGCCUUGUACAUCCAGGCAGGUUGGAAAAGACUUCACCAUGACCUCAGGACAUCUUGAGCAACAGGAUACUGACACCAUGCACAGGGCAAACAAAGUCUCUCAGUCUGGAAUAACUUUGCACAGUACGAAAUAUCAUUCCGUCCAAAGAGAAAAUAAGAAAGCCAUGGAUUGUAAGGACACAGUUUCUGAUGAUCAGAGGUUCCUUACUGGGAGACAGUGUUUUGUGUGUUUUGAAUGUGAGAAGUCGUUUUCCAGAAUUUCUGCCCUCUGUUUUCAUCAGAGAGUUCACACUGGAGAAAGGGCUUAUGAGUGCAGUGCGUGCGGGAAAUCUUAUACCACUGGUUCUGCCCUCCACGACUAUCACAAUGUUCAUGAUGGAGUAAGGCCUUAUGAGUGCAGUGAGUGUGGGAAAUGUUUCCCCUAUAGCUAUGUUCUUAGACAUCAAAGAGUUCACACUGGAGAAAAGCCUUAUGAGUGCAGUGAAUGUGGAAAAUCAUUUAGGUGGAGGUCUGGUUUUCUGAAUCAUCAGAGAAUUCACUCUGGAGAAAGGCCUUAUGUUUGCAAUGAAUGUGGAAAAUCUUAUAUCACUAGUUCUAACCUCAAAAAACAUCAGACAGUUCACACUGGAGAAAGGCCUUAUGAGUGCAGUGAAUGUGGGAAGUGCUUUCGCAGUGCUUCUGCCCUCCGUGUACAUAACAUUGUACACACUGGAGAAAGGCCUUAUGAGUGUAGUGAAUGUGGGAAAUUUUUUCGUAGGAGGUCCAAUGUUUUGGAGCAUCAGAGAGUUCACACUGGAGAAAGGCCUUAUGAAUGCAGUGAGUGUGGGAAGUGUUGUACCAGUAGGUCUGGCCUCUAUAAACAUCACAGAGUUCACACUGGAGAAAGGCCUUAUGAGUGCAAGAAAUGUGGGAAAUCCUUUGCCAGGAGCUUUACCCUGCGUUGUCAUCAGAGAGUUCACCUUGGAGAAUAACUUUAUGACGGUAAUUUAUGUGCUAAUACUUUCAUUAGUAGCUCCUUCUUUUGUCAUCAUUAAGCUGUUUACACUGGAUAAAGGCCUUUUGAGUGCAGUUACUUUGGAAUGUGGAACAUCUUUAUCUGUACCAGUCACCUGCAUUGUAAUCAGAGUUCUCACUGGGAAAUGUCCUCAUAAUGAAGUGAAUUUGGGUAAUUCUUUUUUUGCAUCCAUAAUUUCAGUGGUUUUGACAGAGUUUACUCUCCAGUGGUGCCUUUUGGUUGCUGAGAUUAUGUGUAAUAUCUUACCAGCAGUCAUGGCCUCUGAUCUCAUCAGAAAAUUCACAAUCACUCAGUUCUUAUAGGAUUAUUUGGGAAAUCUUUUAGUUCUAGACAUGUGUUUUUUCUUCACUGAGGUCACAUUGAUAGUUUUUUUUUUAUAUACAUGCCAUUUGAAAUCAUUCUCCUUGUGGCACUAACCUAUAUUAUAUAGAGAGACUUCAGUCUACGUAAAGGCCUUAGGAGUGCAGUCAGAGUGGGAGAUUCGUGUUCCCUCCUCUGCCCUUUCUAUCACCAGUUUACACAGGACCUAAGCUUUAUGAAGACUUCAAAUGUUGGAGAUUUUUCCCUCGUGCUCAUGGCCACCAUUUUCACUGUUCACGCUUUAGAGUCUGAAUGUAUAAGGUGAACAUGGGAAAUCUAUAGCCAUAAGUUGAUACCAUUUUUACAUUGUAUAAAUGGUUAGAUUAUGCAAAACGUAAUUUAUUUUUUUUAAUUUUAUUAAUUUUUUUAAAUCAAUGUAUGGUUGCUUCUGGUGAAUCCCCUGCUGGGAACUGGCCUGCAACCCAGGCGUGUGACCUGAUGGGGAAUCGAACUGCGAUUUUUUGGUUAGCAGGCCCGUGCUCAAUCCACUGAGCUACGCCAGCCAGGGUGAAAUUUUAAUAAUUUUUAAAGAGGGGGUCGGGAAAGAGAAAGUGAGGGAGAGUAACAUCAGUGUGUGAUUUCCUAUUGAAUGCCCCCUCCUGCAGUCCCCACCCUGGCAACCCAGGGAUGUGCACUGACUGGGAAUCCAACCACCAACACUUUGGUUUGCAGGCCCCAACCGAAGCCACUGAGCCUCACCAACCAGGGCCUUCAAAAUGGGUUUUCUUUUUCAAUGUAAUGGCGCUGAAACUUUCUGGAGAAACGGAGUUUAAUUUCAUAUGUUCCUACUCUGGAUAUAUCUCAGAAGUAGAAUGUUAAAAUUUUGAAAAGCCAUACAAAGUACGACAUUGACUAAUUUUUCUUUUAUGCAUUCUCACCAAAAGUGUUUACAAAGUGCAGUUCCUAACUGUAACAAAGUCUUCUUUCUUCAAUUUUUCUGAAUUUAACCACUUUCUAAAUGUUAAUCGUGUGUGAUCUCUCUGUCAUUUUAGUUCCGUUUCUUUGAGGAUUUAGUAUGAGCAUUUUUGUAUGUACUACUGAUAUGUUUUCAGUCAAAUCUGUGGGCACAUAAUUUACCUGUUCCUUUAUUAAUUUGGGCUACUCUCCUUUAAGAAAUAGUGUAAAGCAGCAAAGGUGGAUAAUCAAAUGACACCCACUUUCACUUUUUGAAUAACAAGUCAUUUUUAUGUUAUGGAGCAAUUGUUUCUUUUUUUGAGCUAUGUGAUAACUAUUUCAACACUGUGAAAUAUUUCCAAAUUGUUUGGGAGUUUACUGUACAAAGUACAAUGAUACAUAUCAUGCACUUUAAAGAAUAAUCUUCAUUAAUUAACACACUUCAUCAUUUUUGUAAGUUCCUAUAUUUAAUAAUACAGUAAAAAGCCUUGUGCCCUAGUCACUGUGUCUGAGUUUUUUUUAGAGCACUCCUGCAAACCAAAAGGUUGCUGAUUCGAUUCGCAGUGAGAAAACAUGACUGAGUUUACUGCCAGUUUCCCAGAAGGGGCCCUGGGACGAGAAAGCUUACAUUGAUGUUUCUCUCUCUUAGUUUGUCUCAUUCCCUCUGUGUAAAAAUAAAUCAGUUAGCCCUGGCUGGCGUACCUCAGUGGAUUGAGUGUGAGCUGUGUACCAAAGCAUUGCCAGUUACAUCCCAGUCAGGACACAUGCCCGGGUGGUGGGCCAGAUCACCAGUAGGGGACCAUGUGGGAUACAACCUCGCUGAUAUUUCUCUCCCUCUUUCUCCUUCCCUUCUCCUUUCUAAAAGUAAAUAAAAUCUUUUUAAAAAUUCAAUAUAAAUAAAUGCAUUUAAAAAUCUUUUUUAAAAGUGUGUUGGGAAAGAUGGGGAUGUUUUUCAUUGUGGCAUAUUAGGGCAUCAGUGCAGGGCAGAGACACAGCAAGACCAGUGAAAUGGAAAACAACUAAUACUGUUUUCGUUGUAUCAUGAAUUUCAACUUCGUUCUGAUAUGUUAAAGUGCUUUAACAUCUGGCUCACAGGCUUCAUGGGAAGAGUACCUGUCAUUUCCAUGGUUUCCCCAGGGGAAACUGCAUUGAGAUUUAACUGUAUUUUGUCUACCACCUUUUUAAGCUUAGCAUACAGGUGGACAUGAAGGAGACCCCUGUGAUUUAGGGCCAGGCCUUUGUGCAACUUCAGUUUUCAUUUGUAUCGCAGGCUCAGAUUUAUUCACUAAUAAAUAUGGUGCAUCAGUUUGACUUUCCAGUGUUUUUCCUACAUGUCACAGAUAUUCACUCUGCAUUAGUGAGGACAGUGGGACGUGAUACCUGGAACAUAUUUAGAACUGACAGUGGAGACCUAUAGUAUCAUUACCCACCUGCUGGAAUGUUCACCUCUUCUUCAUAGAGGAAACUCAGUGCCCACAUGACCCUGUACUCUGUCGGGAUGGCUACAGGAGACCGUGUUGUUCACCAUGUAUUCCCUGUGGCCAUGACCAUGUUCAGCAGCCACAUCUUCCUUUCCAGUCUCCCUGUGUCAGCACCAGAGACCUCUGGGUAGUAACCAUAGUCCUUUGGAACACAAGCCCUCCUUCUACUGCCCAAGACACUUUGGCCACAACUGAGAAUCUUACUCCUGAUUGUUCCAGACAGCAGCCAAUUGGCCAAAUGAGGUUUGGUCUGUGUCUCCAUGAGCCAAUUAGCAUUGUUAUGUCUCAGGGGCUUCUUCAGAGAAGAGGAUGAGUACUGAUCAUUCUUGGUGAUAUUUGCUGUCUGCUUCCACAACAUUUUCCUAAGUGAUACCAUCCUCUUAAAAGCACCAGGUGGCCUGGGUGGACCCUCUGAAAAUGGACCCCUUGCCCCUUGUUGCCUAAUAACUGCUGUCAAUAGAAUGUCUAGGAUUAGUGCUCAAUCUCCAAGCCCUUCUAAGUGUUACUGAUGUUCCAUUUUCAACAGAGUGAGCA